AUCGCUUCUCGCUCGGCCGAAUGGCUAAGAUCAAGUGUAGUAUCUGUUCUUAUCAGCUUAAUAUCUGAUAGUAUCUGCAUAUCAGAUCCAGUAUAUUAAACUGAUUUUUGGAAAUUGGCGGAAUGUCAGGGGCCUUGCUCCGCUUCCGCCGCGGGGUUGCCCGGUAUUGCAGUACCGCCGGGAUCGGCCCAUAAAAA